ensembl:lncRNA
AUGUCUUGGUGGUUCCAUGCUGUGAGAAGAGUCUGUGUCAUGCAAAUUAGCAGCCUUUUCUUUUCUCCCAGGAGCACCCUUCAAGGAGAAUUAGACAAAUUGGAGUCUACUCGGAAGAGGCUGUUGGGAAUGGCCCUGACACCACAUCCUGACAGGGAUGGCCGAUGGAAUGGGGAGAAGACUCAGAAAAUGCCAUCCUGUCUUAACCUGCUGAAGAGAAAGAAGAAAGGGGACUGUGGGUGUAUUCGGGCUAAAGUAAUAAUUAGGGAGACAGGAGCAUUCUGGGGCCAGGCAAGGUGAGAGCAGUGGAAUUCAAAUUUUCAGAGCCCCAGGGGACUCAUGAAGGAUGGAUGGGAGGAAAAGGACGGCAAGAGGUAGGCCAAUUGCUGUCAUGAGGAAGAGUAAAAUUCUUAAGUCAAAAUCAAAAUAAAGACUGGGUGUGGUGGCUCAUGCCUGUAAUCCUAGCACUUUGGGAGGCCCAGGUGGGAGGAUCACUUGAGCCCAGGAGUUUGAAUCCAGCCUGGGCAACAAAGUGAGAUCCCCAUCUCUACAAAAAAGUAAAAAUUAGCUGGGCAUUGUAGCACACACUUGUAGUCCCAGCUACUCAGGAGGCUAAGGCUAGAGGAUUGCUUGAGCCUAGGAGGUUGAGGCUGCAGUGAGCCGUGAUCAAGCCGCUGCACUCUAGCCUGGACAACAGAGUGAGGCUCUGUCUCAGAAAAGAAAAAACAACAACAACAAAAAGAAAACUGUGUUGUUCUCUGAUUACAGAAGUGAAACUUUUAUAAAAUAUGAGGAAAACAAAAGCACUGAAUAAAUAUCUCUCUAAUGGUAGUGAUAGUCCCCGUUAAUAGUAUAUUAAUUGUAUAUUUUAUUAAUUUUGUUUAUACUUGUAUAUGUAUACAUGUAUAUGUAACACCUGUUUUUUUUUACUUUAAAAUGUAUUAUGAACCUUUCCCCGUGUCAUUAAGUACUCUUUUUUUUUUUUUUUUUUGAGACAGGGUCUCACUCUGUCACUCAGGCUGGAGUGUAGUAGGACAGUUAUAGCUCACCGCAGCCUUGACCUCCCAGGCUCGAGUGAUUCUCCCCCCUUAGCCUCCCAAAUAGCUGCGACCACAGGUAUGUGCCAGCAUACACAGAGAAUUUUUGUAUUUCUUCUAGAGAUGGGGUUUCACCAUCUGGUCUUGAACUCCUGGGCUCAAGCAAUCCUGCCUUGGCCUCCCAAAGUGCUGGGAUUACAGGCGUGAGGCACUGUGCCCUGCCUUUAAGUAUUCUUUUAAAAUAGGAUUUGUAAUUAUUGUGAUUAGAUGGCAUUUCAUCCUAUGGGUAUGCUGUAAUUUAAUUCAACCAGUCCUCUUUUGUUGGACAUUUAGGUUUAAUCAAGGUUUGUUUGUGAUAGGCAGUGUUACUAUAAACAUCUGUAAUCAGUCUUAGCACACGUUUCUGAUUUGCUGGUUGAGGGGGUAUAAAUAUUUUAGGGCAAUUUAUACAUACUUUCAUCUUCUGUCUUUCUUUCUUUUUUUUUUUUCUUUUUUUGAGACAGAGUGAGUGUAGUGGCAUGAUCUCCACUCGCUGCAACCUCUACCUCUCAGGUUCAAGUGAUUUUCCUGUCUCAGCCUUCUGAGUAGCUGAGACUACAGUUGUGUACCACUACACCCAGCUAAUUUUUGUAUUUUUAGUAGAGACGGAGUUUCACCACAUUGGCCAGGCUGGUCUCAAACUCCUGACUUGAGGUGAUCCGCCCACCUCGGCCUCCCAAAGUGCUGGGAUUACAGGUGUGAGUCACCAUACCCAGCCCAUAUCGUCAUCUUCUUGAGACUGUACUAAUUGGAACUACCUAACAACGUAGGAAACAUUUUUCUCAUUUUAUAAGAAAAAAACUUCCUAACAACCCAAGAGAGAAUGGGAGGCAGCAAGCUUUCUGUCAUGAGGCCUGCUGGAGUAUGGGUUAAAGCUAUGGUAUCGAUUCUUCUUCCCUCACUGACACUGAGCAUCAAUUAUGAUGGCCCAUAAAGGGGAAAGUUGCCUUCUCUUGCCCUUAGUUGGACAUCACAGAGCUAGAUUGCUUGGUGGAGGCAAUAACUUAAGAAAUAAAUAACUGCAUUGGGGUCAGCAUUGGGCUAAUGACCUUUAAGGUUUCCUCUAACCUUAAGGACCUAUGUAUGAUACUUACACAUAUGAAGUUUCUGUGCUGAUUCUAACAUAGCCUGUACUCUGCUUGUCUGUGCUCUCAGCAGGUAGGGACGUGGUGAGCUCCUCAAGGGAUUUUCCCAAGGUACAAAUCUCUUUGGGGUAGACAAGUUUCUCCCAGAGGAUGAAAAGUGUGUCCUAAAAUGAGCAUCAUGUUGUUCAGCUCUUCUCUAUCGUUGCUGACCUUCCAUCUAGUCAUUUUAUUAGUUGCUGUAUUAGUCCAUUCUCAUACUGCUAUAAAGAACUUCCUGAGACUGGGUAAUUUAUGAAGAAGAGAGGUUUAGUUGACUCACAGUUCCCAGGCUUGGCAGGAAACAUGACUGGGAAGCCUCAGGAAACUUACAAUCAGGGCAGAAGGCAAAGGGGAAGCAGGCACAAUCUUCACCUGGUGGAGCAGGAGACAGCAAGAGAGCAAAGGGGGAAGUGCCACACACUUCUAAACCAUCAGAUCUCAUGAGAACUCACUCACUAUCAUGAGAACAGCAAGGGGGAAAUCACCCCACGAUUCAAUCACCUCCCAGCAGCCCCCUCCUCAAUUCGACGUGGGAUGUGCUGGGGGACACAAAUCCAAACCAUAUCAGUUGCUUAGAGGGGGAUGUUGAAGUACAGUCCCCAACUGUAAUUGUGGGUUUAUCUAUUUCUCCUUUCAACUCUUAUUAUUUUUUGCUUUUGAUUUUGCUGUUGUUUGGUGCAUACACACAGAAUUGUUAUGGCUUCCUGGCAAAUUGAUUCUUUUAUCAUUAUAUAAUGUUCCUCUUUGUCUCUAGUAAAUUUCUUUGCUCUGAAUCUACCUUAUCAGAUGUAAAUGUAGCUACUACUGAUUUUUUAAAAUUAAUAUUAUAUUCUUUUAUCCUACAUAUGUUAUUGAAUUUCAAAUGAGUCUCUUAUAAGCAGCAUAUAUUUGGAUCCUUUUUAAAUUCACUCUGCCAAUUUCUGUCUUU